rnacentral:tRNA from 1 species
GAGGUAAUAGCUCAGGGGUGGAGUGUGUGCUUAGCAUGCACGAGGUCCUGGGUUCAAUCCCCAGUCCUUC